UUGAAUACACGCAGGCCAACAGCUUGUAUGUUUUACAGCAUUGAUUUUAAUAAACUGUAGUUGAACAGAGGUUUAGAUAUCAUACACAACCAAUUUUAACACACUGGUGCACUGGGGAGAGGAGUUGAACUCAACGCAUCGCAUUUCCCAGGUAGCUACUGCGGUGACACGUGAAGUACUACAGUACCCAGAAGACACUGUUACAGAGGAAGUGACAUCAUCCCCACAGAGUCAUGUGACGGGAAGUUGAUCCGCGUAUAUGUACACUGACUUGUAUUGUUAUUGUUCAGAUGUAGAUAAAUAUAUUGUUGAACUUUUCAAAUAAAUAAAAUGGUAUUAUUUACAUAGCAUACAAAUAAGACCCUGUCACCAAACCAUGUUCUGUUAAAGGUCCUGAACAGUCAAAAUUGUUUUUUUCUUCAUGAAGUUUCAUGAUAUUUGGUUGAAACCAGAUCAAAGUAGGAAGACCAAUGUAUGAUAAAUGACUGUUGCUUCUACAUUGAUCAAGUUGGAUCAUAAAGUUACUGAUACCCCUCCCCCACUUGUCAAACACUUGGACUCAGGAGGAGGUCACAAAAAUAAACUCUUAUUUUAAUACACCAAAGGCCAUGUCGUUACAUUAACGUUGCAAACUUCUUGACAUAGUCAUGAUAUAUGACCAUUGUCUGGCAGUCAACAUAUAUAAAAUGCAUGACGUUUACCCAGACUCCACCCUGUCGUUUCAAAUCAAAUUGUCCAAGAUAGCUAUAUAAAAUGGUGCUGACAAUAAAUAAAUAAAUAUAUAUAUAUUUCUGAAACCAUGAUGUGAUGUCUGAAAGGAAUGGAAGUUGCACGCAAUUUGCUUGAGAUAAUGUCACUGCAACAUGGCAACACUGCGUCCAUGUUGCUUGACAUGGCCGUUUCCAAAGAACCGUCAGGUGAUCUCCCCGCACAAUCUGUCUUUUCAGACUUCCUGGUAGUUUGACAUAAAAUAAAAAAAUACUUUUACAUUUUUUUUUAACAUUCAGAGCAUUUCUAGAGGAGAAAAAAAUAAUAAUUAUGGGUGAUGUUUUGGUCACUCAAAAGGCUACUUUACAUGGGAAUCAGAAUGACUGUUCAGGACCUCUGAGUUAGUUAGUCCAGGGGUGCAUCCCAAAUGGCACCCUAUUCCCUAUGCAGUGCACUACUUUAACCAGAACCCUAUUCCCUAUGUAGUGCACUACUUUAACCAGAGCCCUAUUCCCGAUGUAGUGCACUACUUUAAACGGGGCCCAAUUCCCUAUGAAGUGCACUACUUUAACCAGAGUCCUAUUCCCGAUGUAGUGCACAACAUUUAGCCAGAGCCCUAUUCCCUAAGUAGUGCACUACUUUAACCAGGGCCCUAUUCCCUAUGUAGUGCACAACCUUUAGCCAGAGCCCUAUUCCCUAUGUAGUGCACUACUUUAACCAGAGCCCUAUUCCCUAUGUAGUGCACAAUCUUUAACCAGAGCCCUAUUCCCUAUGUAGUGCACUACUUUAACCAGAGCCCUAUUCCCUAUGUAGUGCACAACAUUUAGCCAGAGCCCUAUUCCCUAAGUAGUGCACUACUUUAACCAGGGCCCUAUUCCCUAUGUAGUGCACAACCUUUAGCCAGAGCCCUAUUCCCUAUGUAGUGCACUACUUUAACCAGGGCCCUAUUCCCUAUGUAGUGCACAAUCUUUAGCCAGAGCCCUAUUCCCUAUGUAGUGCACUACUUUAACCAGGGCCCUAUUCCCUAUGUAGUGCACAACCUGUAGCCAGAGCCCUAUGGGUGCCAUUUGGGAGGCACAUAUUAGACAGGGAACGGAGAAACAAUCUAUAGAGAAGACAGGGAACAGAGAAACAAUGUUACAGAUAUAUAUUACAUCUAAUAGAGAAGACAGGGAACAGAGAAACAAAUCUAUAGAGAAGACAGGGAACAGAGAAACAAUGUUACAGAUAUAUAUUACAUCUAAUAGAGAAGACAGGGAACAGAGAAACAAUGUUACAGAUAGAUUUUACAUCUAAUAGAGAAGACAGGGAACAGAGAAACAAUGUUACAGAUAGAUUUUACAUCUAAUAGAGAAGACAUUCUAUUUUCCUUGUGAAAUGUGAUAUAUAGAUGCUAUUUCUACCUGCAACACUGUGUAUCCACAGAGAGAACAACCCUGGGUUGGGUUACGUUCAGAAAGCACAAAUGGAAAACAAAAAUUUGCUCUCUAAAUAGCCAAGUUAAUUUAGUACAUUUUUUCAAUUGGAAAAAAUAUGUUACUCCUGAACAGACCCCUGGUUUAGAACAUAUUUGCUCUUCUCUAAGCAAGUAAUAAACCACCGUCUACUGGACUGAAGGUGGAGUCCAGAUGCAGCUAGCAUGUAGUUGACCUAUGAACUGUAAAGGGUUAUUAAUGUGGACUGAAAUAUAACGAAGUACCCAAACACUACAGAAAGGCAUCAGUGUUCUGGAGAGAGUAUGGUGAAGAACAGAGGAA
ensembl:lncRNA